rnacentral:tRNA from 1 species
CGGGAAGUAGCUCAGCUUGGUAGAGCACUUGGGUUUGGGACCAAGGGGUCGCAGGUUCGAAUCCUGUCUUCCCGACCA